GUGAGCAAUACACUGUAAAAUUUUUCCAGGAUUUCACAAGAUAUAACUGUAAUAUUUCACAGUUAAUUACAUUAUUACCACUUCACAGGCUUUAACUGUGAUAAUUCACAAUAUAAUACCGUAUUUAGACUUUUACUGUGAAAAUAAUGCAGGCGCGGGGCUUUUACAAGAAACUACUGUGAAUGCCGUCUUUUUUGAGUGGCAACUGCGGCAGCGUCAUCAGAGCUCUCUGAUCUACGUGGUCUCAUUCGGUGGAUUCAGACAGCGCAUUUUCUACAUUGACCGACGAUAAAUAAAGUUAUAAGGUGCUUCUUGGGCAUCAACCCAGAGACAGGCACAAAAUCUAAGAGGCAGAGAGGUCACAUGAACCAGCAAGUCUGCACUCUUAUCAGGAAGCUCAUUGACUUCGAAUGGAUGUCAAUCUAAUUGGAUAGAACCCACACUAUGCAGGUGCCAGCUGCGAGGGAAGGAGAGAGACACCUGCGACCCUCUCUAUUCCCACCUUUUUGUCUUUUCUUACAUCUCUCUCCCUCACUCUCUCUUCUCUGUCUCCUUCUUUCUCUUUUGACAAACAUUCCUGUUACCCAGUGUCAAUCCCUGUUGCCCAGUGUUUUAUUC